CACACCAGGAAUUAUAUCAUCCUUUCUCGAUUUUGCAGGUCGAUGUUUUUUAUAAACUAUGGCGGG
rnacentral:tRNA from 1 species